rnacentral:rRNA from 1 species
UACGGAGGGUGCAAGCGUUAUCCGGAUUCACUGGGUUUAAAGGGUGCGUAGGUGGGUUUGUAAGUCAGUGGUGAAAUCUCCGUGCUUAACAUGGAAACUGCCAUUGAUACUAUAGAUCUUGAAUUUUCUGGAGGAUAGCGGAAUAUGUCAUGUAGCGGUGAAAUGCUUAGAUAUGACAUAGAACACCAAUUGCGAAGGCAGCUA